ACAUAUCACUGUAUGCUUCCCACAGAGGGUUAACGCUCCUGCUGAACCGGAUGUGAUUCCUGCUCCGUUUCAGUGUUGUCGUUGCACGGCCAAUGGCGGACGGAGCCUGAGCAUUUGUCUGAAAAACGUACGUUUUGCACAAAUAUACUCGAAUAUCGAUAGGCCAGUCAAAGCUUUCAGAUCGCACGCGUGUUUUUGGCCCUGAUCAGAUUUGCGCCCAUCAGCAUGGAUGUGAAUUUGACCAUCUCUCUGAUGCGGGGCCAGAUGGGCGCUGUUAUUGAGAAAGCCGUGAACGUCGCGGUGGAGACCGUGCUAGGCGAGAUGAUCCGGGUGGUCGGGCUCAAAUUUGAGGAGAUCAAACGUGACAUGACAGCUAAAGAGAAGGAGAAUGAGAACAUCAGGAGGAUGUUGGAGGCGUCUCGCUGUCAGAUGAAAACCAUGCGCAAGUACAUCAGCGUCCUGUCUGCUAAAGACCCCAACCAUAGACUGUGUCAGGGAGAUGGAGACAUGGCAACAACAUCCACAGGGAUGCACUGCAGAAGAGGGCCGACGAGCACUGUGUCAGUGUGUGCCAAAACCCCAGACCCCUGUCCCAGACCCAGAGUCUCUGAACCAGCCCCUGUAGCUGCCCCCUCAUGGGUGAGGCUGAGACAGCAGAUGCACAUGUCCAAAGAAACAUUAAGAAGUGAGAAUCACAUUGCUGAUGUCCAUAUUGAAGAGAUCCAUGGAUCAUCAGUUCAUAAAGUUGAGAUCUCAAGCCCUCAUCUGGUGGACAGCCAGGUGCUUCUGUCUGAGACCAGUGAUCCAGUAUGGGGUCAGAACCCUCUCGUCUCUGCAGAGACUGGGCACACAGACAUGCCAGACAGCAGCGUCCUCUCUGCACCCAUGAUGGCAGAUGAAAGUGUGUCAUCCCAAACUACAAGCACAGUGGCAUUUGGAGCACCUUCACUUAAAAUCAAACAGGAGGAAGCGGAGGUUGAAAUAGUCUGUGUGAAGGAUGAACACGCAGAAGCUGGCAGCAUCCCUAGAUUUGAAUAUUCCGACCCUGAACUUCACCAGCAAGUGGGAGAACCAGAGCUCGGGGUCUCACUAGAUCUACCCGCAUCAUUUCAGGCUCUUCAGAGUCCAGGCACUUCAGCAGACCUUGCAAUCCCAGCAUUCAUGAGUGUGGACCCAACUACCUAUGACGACUCUCAGCUGUCUGUGGCAGGGGUCCUAAAGCAGGUGCGUCCGAGACGUAAGGACCUGAAUCUGUAUGAAGAAUACAAACGCAGCCGAACUCUGAGAGGCCGUAAUACAAACCGACGGCGUGAGCUGGAGCAGACUCUACCGCAGGCUCUGCUUGCAGACUUGGUAAGGGAACGGAGGGAAAAGACUCGUCUUCGAGUGGCCCGCUGGCGUGCCAAACGCAAAUUACAAGGCUGUCUGAUGGCCUCGCAGGCUGCACAGUUUAGCGGAGCCGCUGUGCAGAGUUCACCUGCCCAGCGUGGCAGCCUGAUCUCCACCCGCAGGCGAGGCGGAGCGACGGCGCCGCGCGGUGGGUUUGGAUUCAGAAGGGGACUGUCAGAGACUGGCACAUAUAAUCUGCUGCUGCAGCUGGGGCCCAGUCCUACUCAAUCUGCAGUGGCACAUGACAUCAAUGUAGGCCUGAUGCCGUCUGGCCUCUCAGCGCUAUCACAGCACAGAACCACUGCACCUCGAUCAACUUACCAAUGAUGCAGCCAGGGCCGUUUUAACCAUAGGGCUAGGCGGGGCUGAAGCCCCGGGGCCCGAGCAAGGAGGGGGCCAGUGAUUGGCUGUGGAGUAGAUUGACUGGAGCGCCGAUCACCAAAGUCACCACGCCCCCCAUUUAUUAACACUGUUAUUUAGUUGAGCUUUUCCGUAAAUUCCAUGCAUUACCAUUUGAAAUUGAAACGUCACUAAUUAAUGACAGCGCUGAGUUGUUGUCAUCUUAAUGCUUAACAAAGUGACAUUUUCCGAAGCGAGACACUUUUUUCCUAAUACUAUGAAACUUAAAAACAAAAAAUCAUACUGAUCUGUGCAAAAAUAGUCCAAAAAUUGGACUAUUCAAAAACACAUUCAUGUUUACUUUGACCGUUGCAAACUGAAUCCAAAUUGAGUAGAAAAAACUGGUUAUUUAGUAACAUUAAACAACUCAAAUUGCAUUAUAAAAUGCAUUCUAAAUUCAAC
ensembl:lncRNA